CAGCCGCCACGGUAAUACGUAGGGUGCAAGCGUUGUCCGGAAUCAUUGGGCGUAAAGCGCGCGUAGGUGGCCAUUUAAGUCCGCUGUGAAGGUCAAAGGCUCAACCUUUGAAAGCCGGUGGAUACUGGAUGGCUAGAGUACGGAAGAGGCGAGUGGAAUUCCUGGUGUAGCGGUGGAAUGCGCAGAUAUCAGGAGGAACACCAAUAGCGAAGGCAGCUCGCUGGGACGUUACUGACACUGAGGCGCGAAAGCGUGGGGAGCGAACAGGAUUAGAUACCCCGGUAGUCCCUGUCUCUUAUAC
rnacentral:rRNA from 1 species